rnacentral:rRNA from 1 species
GAUGAACGCUAGCUACAGGCCUAACACAUGCAAGUCGAGGGACCGGCGCACGGGUGAGUAACACGUAUCCAACCUGCCCUUUACUCGGGGAUAGCCUUUCGAAAGAAAGAUUAAUACCCGAUGUAAAGGAUGGGGAUGCGUUCCAUUAGGUUGUUGGUGAGGUACCGGCUCACCAAGCCUUCGAUGGAUAGGGGUUCUGAGAGGAAGGUCCCCCACAUUGGAACUGAGGCACAGACCAAACUCCUAGGGGAGGCAGCAGUGAGGAAUAUUAGUCAAUGAGCCUUAGCCUGGACCAGCCAAGUAGCGUGAAGGAUGAAGGCUUAUGGGUCGUAAACUUCUUUUAUAUAAGAAUAUGUAUUAUAUGAAUAAGGAUCGGCUAACUCCGUGCCAGCAGCCGCGGUAAUUC